AGGGUGGGCACUGGAGGCCCAGGCCACCCCAUCCCCCAGCUCUGUGCCCCCCCACCUCAGGACUUGAAGGCGCCAGGAGCUGAGGCCACCACUUCUAGAGGAGUCCCUCCGAAGGACACUUGAGCGCCCGUCACCGCCAGGGCCUGAGGCCGCAAGCGCGGGGAGGCGGCUCGUCGGAAAGGCAGCGUGGGCGGCCCGGCCUGCUGUGGGGGUGACAGGUGACACGGGACUGUCUGAAUCAUCUACGAAACAGGAAACCCCGCUUUGCACCAGUUCCAAGGGCUAAACGCGCGCGUAAACGGUCCACACGGGGCGGCGCGCAGAGAAAGGUCCGGUCAGCGAUGUUCAGAAAUGAAGCGCUUAAAUUAUAGCAGAAGCAACGAUGCCACCAUCAGACAUCCCGACAGGCUUGUUCCUUCGGGGCCCCUCCCCCCGCCCCCCUGCCGGGCCCACGGUGCCCCCUCAGCACCGCUCUGCUCCUGACGUUCAGGCGUCUACGCCAGAGAUGGUCCGACUGGGGAGCCCGGUCCGUCAUGGCCUCCGUCCCCUUAGCCACGCUGGGUCCUUUGGGGCAGCGCAGCGUGACAGGUGCGUUCCCACCGUCUGCACAGCAUUCAGCGCGUGGUACCAGCUGGACCAUGCUCGUCCCGAUGUGGUUUACUCCACGCGAGUGUCUGUGUGGCAGAGGAUUUACUAAAAAUUUCAGAUUUCCCCCCAAA